UACAGAGACCACAAGCGUUACUCGGAUUCACUGGGCGUAAAGGGUGCGUAGGCGGUUAGGUGUGUCAGGUGUGAAAUCUCGGAGCUUAACUCCGAGGCCGCGCUUGAAACUACCUGGCUAGAGUUUUGGAGAGGUAAGCGGAAUUUCUGGUGUAGCGGUGAAAUGCAUAGAUAUCAGAAGGAACACCAAUGGCGAAGGCAGCUUACUGGACAAAAACUGACGCUGAGGCACGAAAGUGUGGGUAGCAAAA
rnacentral:rRNA from 1 species